GAUGAACGCUGGCGGCGUGCCUAAUACAUGCAAGUCGAGCGAACGGACGAGAAGCUUGUUUCUCUGAUGUUAGCGGCGGACGGGUGAGUAACACGUGGAUAACCUACCUAUAAGACUGGGAUAACUUCGGGAAACCGGAGCUAAUACCGGAUGAUAUUUUGAACCGCAUGGUUCAAAAGUGAAAGAUGGUCUUGCUGUCACUUAUAGAUGGAUCGGGGCUGAAUAAGCUAGUGGGUAAGGUAAGGGCCUACAAAGGCAACGUUCGAUGGCCAACUGGAGAGGGGGUCGGGCCACCUUGGAACUGGACACCGGCCCAGCCUCCUAGGGGGGCAACCGGAAGGAAAUCUUCCGCAUUGGGCGAAAGCCUGCCGGAGCAACCCCGGUUGAGUGAUAAAGUUUUUCGGACCGUAAACCUCUGUUAUUAGGGAAGAACAUAUGUGUAAGUAAAUGUGCACAUCUUGACGGUACCUAAUCAGAAAGCCACGGCUAACUACGUG
rnacentral:rRNA from 1 species